AGAUUGAACGCUGGCGGCAGGCCUAACACAUGCAAGUCGAGCGGAUGAGAGGAGCUUGCUCCUUGAUUCAGCGGCGGACGGGUGAGUAAUGCCUAGGAAUCUGCCUAUUAGUGGGGGACAACGUUUCGAAAGGAACGCUAAUACCGCAUACGUCCUACGGGAGAAAGCAGGGGGACCUUCGGGCCUUGCGCUAAUAGAUGAGCCUAGGUCGGAUUAGCUAGUUGGUGAGGUAAUGGCUCACCAAGGCUACGAUCCGUAACUGGUCUGAGAGGAUGAUCAGUCACACUGGAACUGAGACACGGUCCAGACUCCUACGGGAGCAGCAGUGGGAAUAUGGACAAUGGGCAAAGCCUGAUCCAGCCAUGCCGCGUGUGUGAAGAGUCUUACGAUUGUAAAGCACGUUUAAGUGGAGGAAGGCAAGUAAGACAAGUACUUGCUGUUUGACGUUACGACAGAAUAAGC
rnacentral:rRNA from 1 species